rnacentral:rRNA from 1 species
GACGAACGCUGGCGGCGUGCUUAACACAUGCAAGUCGAACGAAGUGGCGAACGGGUGAGUAACGCGUAAUCAACCUGCCCUUCAGAGGGGGACAACAGUUGGAAACGUCUGCUAAUACCGCAUACUGAAGGAGGGGAUUGCGUCUGAUUAGCUAGUUGGAGGGGUAACGGCCCACCAAGGCGAUGAUCAGUAGCCGGUCUGAGAGGAUGAACGGCCACACUGGGACUGAGACACGGCCCAGACUCCUACGGGAGGCAGCAGUGGGGAAUAUUGCACAAUGGGCGCAAGCCUGAUGCAGCCAUGCCGCGUGUAUGAAGAAGGCCCUAGGGUUGUAAAGUACUUUCAGUCGGGACGCGGUACCGGAAUAGAAAGCCACGGCUAACUACGUGCCAGCAGCCGCGGUAAUUC